UACAGAGGGUGCGAGCGUUGUCCGGAAUCACUGGGCGUAAAGGGCGUGUAGGCGGGACAGUAAGUCGGGCGUGAAAUCCCUGGGCUCAACCCAGGAACUGCACUCGAAACUACUAUUCCUGAGUGUCGGAGAGGAAAGCGGAAUUCCUGGUGUAGAGGUGAAAUUCGUAGAUAUCAGGAGGAACACCAGUGGCGAAGGCGGCUUUCUGGACGAUAACUGACGCUGAGACGCGAAAGCGUGGGGAGCAAACAGG
rnacentral:rRNA from 1 species